AACCCUUCGCUGGAUCCCGGGACCCCGGCAAUGACGGGCUGCACAGGCUCCCGGAAGGGCGGCGUGGACAGUGACCUGCGCCUGCACACAGGCCUCUUGGCGGCGGCAGCAGCAGCCCCAGCAUCCCACGCCCGUCUCUGGGGUCCGCGCUUUUAGCCCGGCUCGCGCCCGUCUCUGGAGCUCCUUUAAGCAGCGCUCUUAAUCCCCUCUCCUCGCGCACCAGGAAACCAAGAGGGAAGAAAAAGUCUCUUGCCUCUUCGGCUGCUCCAGAGUUUUCCCGGACUCCCUGCCGGCUAGCUGUGGCGCAUUAGCCCCCUUCAGGCUGAGUUCUCGCCGCCAGCCCCAGUCCUCUCCCUGCGCUCUGACCGAAGCCCGAGCCUCAGCUUCCAGCGCUGCCCGCCCCAGCAGGUGAGCAGACAAGCCUCUCGGGCUGGUGAGUGCCGGUCGGCACCGAUCCUCUGUGCGGGAAUCUCCGCUUUGCCCUACCCAGGACUCUUUUCCUUGGAGGCAAGGUACACUCCUGUCUGAAGAUCAACUCUUCCACAGAGGGUCCUGAGCAGAAAUCACAAGGUAAAGUCUGAUGGGACAAUGGAGCAUGCAAGCGAGGAGAGAAGGUACACACAUUAUGUGUAUCAGCCAUUCCUUGACACCCCAUUCAUAUUCCUGAUGCCCCACGAGCACAGAGUUCUAGGGGACCCAUGAUACAUGGGUGUUCAAUGAGGCUCCAAUCAAGUACAUGUAAGCAUAUUACACCGACAACAGAGCAAGUGGUGGUGUUGGUGCUGACAGCCUUGAGAGGUGGUGCUUUCUGUUCAAACCAGAAUUUCCUUUUAAAACAGACAGAAGGCAAUGGUGAUCUAAGAAGCAUGAACAACAAAAGAACCCUAUCCGAUCCUUCCUGACUUAUGUUACUGCUGUGAUUGAAUUGGGUCCUGCUGCUUGCUGCUUACAAAAUCAGUUACAUACUGACAAAUGGUAGAAAGGAAAGGUGCUUUUAAUCAGAAUCCCGGCAAUCUGCGGAGACGGUGGACUCAAGUGUUCCCCAAAAACCACCUCUGAAGAUUCUGCUCAGCCAUGAGAGUUUUAAAGGAAAGGAAGGAAGCAAUCUCAGUUAAUCAUUGAGAUGGGGGUCAGAGUCAUCGCCAUUCCCCACUGUGUGCAGGCUUGUGUUCAGGCUUGUCACUCGUGAUCUUCCCCUAGAUGUCAUCUUGUUCAUAGAACUUGGUCACACAGUUUGUUUGGAAGAUUACUGAAGGGGAAGCUAGGGAAGACAUCUUGUUAUCUGUUAAUUACUUAUUCUUCAUUUCUACUUCUUUGAUCUACGGAAAGAACUGACCAGAUGGUGUCAUUCAUCUGACUGAGAACUUCAGGUGGCUUCUCACAGCCUACAGUAAAAAGUUCACUCCUGGCCCGGAGGAAGAUGGCGGAAGAGUAAGACGCGGAGAUCACCUUCCUCCCCACAGAUACAUCAGAAAUUCAUCUACACAUGGAACAACUCC